rnacentral:rRNA from 1 species
CCGGCGAGUGGCGAACGGGUGAGUAAUAUAUCGGAACGUACCGAGUAAUGGGGGAUAACCAAUCGAAAGAUUGGCUAAUACCGCAUACGUCCUAAGGGAGAAAGCGGGGGAUCGCAAGACCUCGCGUUAUUCGAGCGGCCGAUAACUGAUUAGCUAGUUGGCGGGGUAAAGGCCUACCAAGGCGACGAUCAGUAGCGGGUCUGAGAGGACGAUCCGCCACACUGGGACUGAGACACGGCCCAG